CUUGGUAGGCUGUUGCUGGCUUUCUUGGCAUGUGCACGUUUAUCAUCUUUUUAAUCCACCUGUGCACCUUUUGUAGGCCUUUGAUUUUUUGGGACUGCUGUUUUUAAACAACACAAUGUUUAUCGGCUUUCCCUUUUAUUUUUUCAAGCCUAUGUUUUCAUAUACACACCAGAAAAUAUAUUGGAAUGCUGUAUGUUAGGUCAUUUGUGCCUACAAUAAACCAGUACAACUUUCAGCAACGGAUCUCUUGGCUCUCGCAUCGAUGAAGAACGCAGCGAAAUGCGAUAAGUAAUGUGAAUUGCAGAAUUCAGUGAAUCAUCGAAUCUUUGAACGCACCUUGCGCUCCUUGGUAUUCUGAGGAGCAUGCCUGUUUGAGUAUCAUAAAAUUGUCAACUGUGUCACUUUUAUAGUGAUUUACAGAUUGGAUAUGGGAGUUUUUGCAGGCCUAGUUUGUCAGCUCUCCUGAAACACAUUAGCAGUGCCUUGUUGGUCCUUGGGUGUGAUAAUUUAUCUAUGCCUUGACGUGUACCUUCAUGAAGGUUGUGCUGCUUCCAAUGGUCUUUGGACACAUUUAUUGAAGAUUUGAUCUCAAAUCAGGCAGGACUACCCGCUGAACUUAAGCAUAUCAU
rnacentral:rRNA from 1 species